AAGAGAUAACUUAAGUCGGGUUUGUCCGCUUGGUGCUUCUGCAAUGAUUGAUGGAGUUCCAGGGGUUGAUGUUGGGGCUUUUGUUACAACCGGAGGUAGUGGUGGCUCAGUGACAUCAUCAUCUACGAAAACUGGGUUUGGAGCUUGGGCUGGAGGUAAGGCCAGAGGAUUCAUAAUGGCUAAGAGGCCACCGGGUUGAAUAGGUAACAUAUAAGGUGGUAUUUCUUUUCUACCCAAACAUCGAUUCCCUACAAAAUAAAAACAGAGCCAGGCAUUGAUGUUAAUUAUUUUGUGUUGUGAGACCUUUAGAUGCAAAUUUUCUGUCACUUACUUUUGUAUCUUGCAGCUGUGAAAGGGAACUCUGUGAUGGUUCCACUAACACCGGCGCCAGAGAUAUAUGUGUUUAUCUCAACAGUUGCAUCAGCGAAGAAGUCAUAUGGUUGCGAUACAAACUCAUUCCGAAACAGUUCCACAUAAACCGUGAGCUGAGACUUCUUCAGUCUCUCCACAACAUUGGUUUGCUUAGUGAGAAACGACUCAGAGUUAGGAAAGACUGAAUCUUUGUUAAUGACAACAGCGUUAGCAAAUUUCUUUAUGUCUUCAAUGGCGUAGUCAUGAAUAUUACUAAUUGUUUCUUCAAUUUUGUAGACAGUCUCGUACUUGAUCUGCUUCCUGAAGUCAACUAGAACUGAGCUGUUGGUAGACUGAAUCAUGACCUUUGUUGUGGUUGUCCCAUUGUUGUAACCAGUUUUCGUGAGUGUAUCGAGAACCGCUUGAACCACGUCGAGCCCUUGCUUCUCUCUCAAGUAUGCUGCAUUCUGGGGGACACAAAAAAAAAAAAAAGCAUAGAAGAUAUCACGGUCGGUUUGAUAAAAUCUCAAGACUAAGAGGUACACUAAGAACUCACCUCUACACUGAUCAAAACACCGGAGAGAGAAGUGUAAUUCUUUGCCAGGUCUAGGAAUUGGGAAAGGGAAAUGAGCGUCCCUGAAUUUUUCUCUUUCGGAUUUCUGGAAAUACGGUAAACCCUGAAGUAGGGGUUUGAAAUAGCAGCUGCGCAAAAAGAUGGGAGAAUGUGAAAUUGUUACGAAAACAGAUAUUUGCAUUGUAUAAGUAACCUCUUUAAGUUAAGUAGGACAAGAAACAAAGCUCUGUGAUUAGUUAUUUGGUUACUAUAAAUAGUAGGAACAAGAGUGUGCAUUUGUCUGAAGCAAUAAUGGAAAAUUUGAAGGGAAACUUACGAGUCAAGUUCUGGAUCUCAGGCCAUGUGAGACUAAAAGUGUAUAUUCCAGCAACUGAGCUAAUCUCAGGAACAGGAGUUGAACGGUUGCUAUAAAGAGUUUGGGUGACCGUUGUACUGUCCCCGAGAUUUAUUGAACUUAAGCAAAAGGGUAUACCGUCGCUAGACAUUUGGACUGAGCAAUCAAUAACAUCAGCACCAUCUUUGAUUGCGUUCUCAUAUGCAACGUCUGUACAUCCAGGAUAGUCCCCACUCGCACCAUUUUUUGAUAUAACAAGAAAAUCCACUGAGCCAUAGACCAUUUGGUAGAUGAUAAAGUUAAUUAUAAGUUUAUUUUUUAUUCGUAAGAACAGAAAAAAAAAAUCUAUAUUAUGUUUACUCUCAUUACCUUGUUUUGUAGCGUUUCUGCCAAUGUGGGAGAAGCAGUCUGAAGAAAAUAUGAAAACAAAUGUCUGAUUUUAUGUAUUUCUAGUAAUGUUUUACAGACAAAUUUAAAUGGUGUCUAUAGAAGAGAUUUUGCUUACCAACGGUCGCAGAUGCAGUGAUGGGAAAAUCAGAGAGCACACCGUCAACCGAAAAAUCACCAUUGUCCACAAAAGAUAGAUACUCAGACACUGGAUCCCAACUGUAGUUAUAUGCAAUAUCAACAUCAUUUGCAAAACCGGACACAUAUACUUGUAAUCCUGCUUUGUGAGCAUCUUGAACUAAGGAUGUAUGAGGAACCAAGUACUGUUCCUCAUCAAUUGGCAAUAUGUAAGACUUGGGAACAAGAAUCCCUGAAGCAAACGUCUUGACAAACGUUAGGUUACUCAAGAUUGAACCGUAGGUUCGGUUCAUUGUCGGCUCGAAAUCCUCUUUCCUAAGAAACUGGAACACAAAACUCGGACCAUUACGUCCGAAACGGCCGGCAAUUUUCCUAAAGAAAUUCACCUCAGGGGAAGAUAUGAAGUCAAUGGAAACAGUUCUUGAAACUGAUAACAGAAAACUGCUCAUGCUCAAAUUUUGUUGCUCAUAGAACGCAUCAUGCUGAACAUUUAACCAAAAACCUUUUGGUAAUAACUGCGUGUUUACAUCUUGAAUCGUCAAAAUCGCAAAUCCGCUUCCAUCAAAUCUUUCUGAGCGCGAAAAUAUACCUCGGAUCACUAAGGUAAAAAGAAAAAAUAUUUGUGAGAAGUUACAAGAAAUUCCAAACAUCAACAAAAGCACUAACGGAAUCAUAAACACUUACAAGAAACAUUCUGGAGCUCUGUCAAGGAGAAAUCAAUGGGGAACCAACCCUGAGUAGUGACUCCAUUAACCCGGUAAGAUUUUCGACGAGUUGAGUAAACAUCUUGUAUAUUUGAAGCAUUGGCCAGAUUUAAAUCAGGGAAGCAAAUCCCAACUUCAUCUUUAGUUAGCUGAACAUCACACCAUAGAAUAACAUCGGCUAAACUUGCUUGCAUUGCAAAUUGGUAUGCAGCUAGACUUGAAUCUGGAAACAAUCCAGAAAAGCCACCACGAGCAAUCACUAGUGGAGCAUCACCUAGUAAAUAAAUAAAAAAGUAGUUUGAAGUUAUUUUAAUACUUGGAGACAAAAGUAUUUUAUGCUUCCACAAUCAAAGCAGUUAUUAGACUAAUAUUUGGGAACUGCCCUUUAUUGGCUAUAAUCCCCAAACCAAAGAUAAACUUGUCAAUAAUUGUUCUUCUGAAAUCAAAAUGAAGUUAUUAUCCCAGCUUUUACUACACAUAUAGAUAAAGAAAAAAAAAGUACUACUAGUACUUAAGUUCUCUUGUUUUCUUGGAAACCAUGUGCAAAACAAAGAGAAAAAGUAAGAACAACUCUCACCAUUGAGCGUCUGCCAUCGACUUGUUGAUCUUUGAGCAUCAAUUUGAGCAACAAACAGCUGAAUCAGAACAACACCACAGAAUAAAAGCGUUGAAGAUCGUAUUACAAUCUUUGUCGGAUUACCUGGCCGGGAAUUCAUCGGUAACUUACAUAAAUGGAAAAACAAAAAAUAGUAUAUUUAAUGUUUAAUGUUUAAUUUUGUAAUGCAUAAGCAUUGAACACAUAGAGGAGAAGUACAGAGAGACUCAAGAGCUUUUUUAUUAUCAAUUGGCUUUAUUAGUUGACUCAUAGACUCAUAGUGAACAAAUGGAGAGAGAGUCAAGAACAAUAAUCAAAUGGCUUUAUUAGUUGACUCAUAGUGGACCAAUACAAAGAGACUAGCCUUUUUUUUUUUUAAACAAUUUAUUACUUGACUCAGAAAGACUCGUCUCUUCGUUAAGUUAAUUAUAUGCCAAACACACAAUAUAUAGACAGAGAAAGAUUGGUUAUUGGAUGUUCCUUUAGCAUUUUUUUUUCUUUCUUGGAUAUGAUUAAUGGUGGUGAAGAAAAAUAACAUAUAAUGGUCAUUUGCUAGAUCAACUAUGAUAUAUAAUCUUUGUCCUUCAUAUUUUUUUUUGUUACUAUUUCUAAAACCUUUGUUUAUACUAUCACCUAAACGUCUAUACCCCGAAAAUGAGGUAAAACAUGGAAAAGAAUCUUUAGUGGGCCUUGGGCAUUUGUCCUCUCUGCAAAACAUGAAAUUAAAAUCUUUAGUGGGACUGAGAUAGGGGACUUGCCGGUAAACCAAUACCAUACUCUCUCUUAUCUCCUAUCUCAUAAUCUUUCUAUCGUCAUCCUUUAAAGCUGACCAAAGAGGAUUUAGGAGACUUGCAAAGUCAAUACAUAGUUGUUUAUUACUGUCUCUAGAGAAUUGAGACAGAAACAACAACAAUGAUGAAGUAGUAAUUUCUCGAAUGGUUUUAAAAGACAAAUAAAAGUCUAAUCUGAAGACACCUUGAGUUAUUUGUAGAUAAAACUUAAAGUCUUGAUAUCUCAUCUUUAAGGGUGUAACGCCUCAAAUGUUUUAUCGUGAUAGAAAUCUUUCUCAAAUAGUCUAACAUAGUCAUAAAAAACUUGUUUAAGAGAAAAGUCUUCUCAUGAAUUCGGAAUGUAGACAAUAUAUGAGAUUUUUUGAAUAAAUAUAUAGCUAGUUUCAUGCUUUGAUAGGUUCCAUGGUGGCUUCUUGGAUCAUCCUUCUGUAUAAACAGAGACUUCCUCUGAAAGAGUAGAAGAUUCUUGAAAAUUUGAUCUUGGGAUUUGCUGCAAAACAGGCCUAGGAGGGACUUCAAGAGCUUCCAAGCUUCCUUCCAUCAUCUCUACAACUUUGUUCAUCGCUGGGCGAUCCACCGGAGAAGGCUGAAUACACCACAAACCCACCAAUGUCAUCUUUUUUGCAAGCUCAUCUUCUACGUUGUUAAUUCCAUCCUCAAUAUGCCUUCCGGACUUGCCUGAUUCAAGAUCUCUAUAUACCCAUUCAGGAAAGUACAUUGAACUUGUGUUAGAAGGAGAGGCUUGAUUAGCUUUUUCUUUGUUCCUUGCACCAAUUAUCUCAAGGACUAACAUUCCAUAGCUAUACACAUCUGAUUUGUGCGACACAUUCCCAUAAACUCUCGAGAUCAUCUCUGGUGCAAUGUACCCUAUGGUACCUCUUGUGUCCAGCAUUGACAAAAUGCUCUCUUUCUUCUCACAUAGCUUAGCGAGACCAAAGUCCGAAACUUUGGGACAAAAAUUGUCAUCUAAGAGUACAUUUUGUGGUUUAAUGUCAAAAUGUACAAUCCUUGUUUUGCAACUAUGGUGCAAGUACUCUAAACCACGGGCAACUCCUAGCGCAAUUCUAUACAGUGUCGUCCAAUCCAUAUCCACGGAGGUCUUGCCUGAGAUAAACUUAUCAAGUGACCCAUUUUCCAAAAACUCAUAUAUAAUUGCCCUUUUGGAACCUUCUGAGCAGAAACCAAGCAAGGAAACAAUGUUGAGAUGAGAAGUUCUGCUCAUGCUCGCAACCUCAUUCAUGAAGUCUUCACUAUUACCUUUUGAGUCUUUCAAGACCUUAACCGCAACCACACGGCCAUCACCAAGUGUUCCUUUAUAAACAAUUCCAAAUCCGCCUCUCCCAACAAUUUCCGCAAAUGACUUUGUAAUUCUCUUCACCUGUGCAUAAGUAUAGUGUUCCAGUGGAAUAAGAGCCUUCAGCUUCUGUUGUCUCAGCUGUGUUUCUCUCUUUCGGAGAAAACAGAAUGUUAAUGAUAAUAAGACUAGGAACAAUACAACUCCUGCUGCUGACACCGAAACUACAAAAAAAAUGGAGAAAAUGUUUGUUUUCGUACCUUCAUUUUUAAUCUUGGCAACAAAAUCAGUUUAAAAAUUUUCUGGCCAGCAUAACUCACCUAUGCGAAUUACUUUGAACAAAUUUCCUGUACAACCAUUCAACAAAAAGAAAUUUUCAGAAUGGAACCAAACUCGAUCUAGAAGUAAAGAAAAGUAAAGAACAAACUUAGAGGUUUUGCAAUGGUUGAUGAUGUUCCUGGGGUUGAGGUUGGGGAUUUUGCUAUAACCGGAGGUACUGGUGGCUCAGUAACAUCAUCAUAUGUGAAAAUCGGGUUUGGAGCUUGGGCUGGAGGUAAGGCCAGAGGAUUCAUAAUGGCUAAGAGGCCACCGGGUUGAAUAGGUAACAUGUAAGGUGGUAUUUCUUUUCUACCCAAACAUCGAUUCCCUACAAAAUAAAAACAGAGCCAGGCAUUGAUGUUAAUUAUUUUGUGUUGUGAGACCUUUAGAUGCAAAUUUUCUGUCACUUACUUUUGUAUCUUGCAGCUGUGAAAGGGAACUCUGUGAUGGUUCCAUUAAUACCGUGUCCAGAGAUAUAUGUGUUUAUCUCAACAGUUGCAUCAUCGAAGAAGUCAUAUGGUUGAGAGACAAACUCAUUCCGAAACAGUUCCAUAUAAACCGGGAGCUGAGACUUCUGCAACCUCUCCACAACAUUUGUUUGCCCAGUGACAAACGAUUCAGAGUUAGGAGAAACUGAAUCUUUGUUGAUGACAACAGCAUUUGCGAAUUUCUUUAUGUCUUCGAUGGCCGAGUCAGGAAUAUUACCAAUGGUUUCUUCAAUUUUGUAGACAGUCUCGUACUUGCUCUGAUUCUUGAAGUCAACAAGAACCAAGCUGGUCGUAGACUGAAUCAUGACCUUUAAUGUUCCAAAGAUGUAACCAGUUUCCGUGAGUCUAUUAAGAACUACUUUAACUACGUCGAGUCCUUGCUUCUCUCUUAGGUAUAUUACAUUCUGAAGGACAUAAUAUAGAUAUUAUAGUUGUGUGAUUGAUAAAAUCUCAAGAUUAAGAAGUACAUGAUAACUCACCUCUAGACUGAUCAAAACACCGGAGAGAGAAGAGGAGUUUUUUGCCAAGUUUAGGAAUUCAUAGAGUGAAAUAAGGUUCCCAGAAUUUCCCUCAUUCGGAUUCCUGGACAUACUGUAAAGCCUAAACGGGUUUGAGAUAGCAGCUGCACAACAAGAUGGGAGAACGGUUACUUCCCUAAGCUAAGAGGAUGUAAAUUGUUAAGAAACACAUAUUUGUAUCAAUAUCUAACAUCUUGAAGUUUAGUAGGAGUAGAGAAACAAAAGCUCUCGUACUAGUUACUAUAAUUAGUAGGAAUAAGAGUAUGCAGAAUAGACUAGCAUUUUCUGAAUCAACUGGAAAAAUUGAAGGGAAACUUACGAGUCAAACUCUGGAUCUCAUGCCAUGUGAGACUAAAAGUAAAUAUUCCAGCAGCUGAGCUAAUCUCAGGAACAAAUAUGGAACGGUUUCUGAGAUGAGUUUGGUUGACCGUUGUGCUGUUCGCGAGAUCUAUCGAACUUGCGCAAAAGGGUAUACCGUCGCUAGACAUUUGAACUGGGCAAUCGAUAACUUCAGCACCAUCUCUGAUUGCCUUCUCAUAUGCCAAGUUUGUACAUCCAGGAUAAUCCCCACUCGCGCCAUUUUUUGAGAUAACAAGAAAAUCCAAUAAGGCACGAUUCCAUUUGGUAAUAAACAUUUUGUUCUAUAUAUAUUAGUAAUAGAAAAGAAAUGUAAAGCAAAUUACUUUGAUUACCUUGUUUUGUAGCGUUUCUGCCAACGUGGGAGAAGCAGUCUGAAGAAGUACGAAAACAAAAUGUUCCAUUUUGAGUAUUACAAGUAAUGUUUUAAGAACAUAAUGGUGUAUGUAGAAUAGAAUUUUCUUACCAACAGAUGCAGAUGCAGUUAAGGGAAAAUCAGAGAGCACACCAUCAACAGAAAAAACGCCAUUGUCAACAAAAGAUAGAUAUUCAGAAACUGGAUCCCAACUGUAGUUAUAUGCAAUAUCAACAUCAUUUGCAAAACCUGACGCAUAUAGUUUUAAUCCUGCCUUGUGAGCAUCUUGAACUAAGGAUGUAGGAGGAAGCAAGUAGUGUUUGUCAUCGAGUUGCAAUAUGUAAGACUUGGGAACGAGAAUUCCUGAAGCAAAGGUCUUGACAUAUGUUAGGUUAUUGAAGAUAGAACCAUAGGUUCGGUUUGUUGUCGGCUCAAAAUCUUCUUUCCCAAGAAACUGGAACACGAAACUCGGUCCGUUGCGCCCGUAACGGCCAGCAAUUUUCCUAAAGAAACCCACCUCAGGGGAAGAUAUGAAGUCAAUGGAAACAGUUCUUGCAGCUGAUAAUAGAAAACUGCUCAUACUAUAAUUUUGUUGCUCGUAGAACGCAUCGUGCGGAACAUUUAACCAAAAAUCUUUUGGUAAUAACUGCGUGUUUACAUCUUGAAUCGUCGAAAUCGCAAAUCCAUUUUCAUCGAAUUUUUCUGAGCGCGAUAAUAUUCCUCGGAUCACUAAGGUAAAAAGAGAAAAAACAUUUGUGAGAAGUUACAAGGAAAACAAAACACUCUACAAAAGCACUAACUGAAUCAUAAACACUUACAAGAAACAUUCUGGAGCUCUGUCAAGGAGAAAUCAAUGGGGAACCAACCCUGAGUAGUGACUCCAUUAACCGGGUAAGAUUUUCGACGAGUUGAGUAAACAUCUUGUAUAUUUGAAGCAUUGGCCAGAUUUAAAUCAGGGAAGCAAAUCCCAACUUCAUCUUUAGUUAGCUGAACAUCACACCAUAGAAUAACUUCGUCUACACUUGCCUGCAUUGCAAAUUGAAAUGCAGCGAGACUAGAAUCUGGAAAAAGUCCAGAAAAUCCACCACGAGCAAUCACUAGUGGAGCUUCACCUGGUAAAAAAAAUAAUAAUAAUCCAAAAUUAUUUUAAGACAAAAUUAUUUAUUGGAACUGCCAAUUUAUUGGCUAAGAAGAUCCCCAAACCAAAAUCAAUUUUUCCAUAACUGUUCUUCUAAAAUUAGAACUCCCCAAACGGAAAAAGCAAGUGAAGUUACUAUUUAUGACUAUGAUUAUCACAACUUCUACUACAAAUAAGAAACCAGGGACUUAAAUUCUCUCGCAACCAUGAGAAAAAGAAAGAGACCAAGUGAGAACACACUCACCACUCAGCGUCUGCCAUGUACUUGUAGAUCUUUGAGCAUUGAUUUGAGCAGCAAACAGCUGUAACAGAACAACACCAUAGAGUAACAUUAGCUUUGUCGGAAUACUUUGCCGGGAAUUCAUUGGUUGCCUUCUGUUUCUCUCAGUCAACGAAAUAACGAUAUUAUCUAAAACAUUGGUUUGAUUAGUUACGUUGACUCAUAGUAAACAAAAGCAGAGAGACUCAAGAUCAUAAAUCAAAUGGCUCUUCACGCACUCAUAGUAGCCAAGACAGUGAGACACAAGAGCCUUUAUUUUUAUAAAUCUUUUAUAAAUCAAAUGGUUUUGUUAUUAGUCUCUUCAUUAAGUUGUUUUUAAUUGAUUUUAAGCCAAACACACACAAAGUUGAGACAGAGAGAGAUUGGUUAUUUGAGGUUAGAUUAAAAAGGUGGUGAAGAAAAACUACAAAUGAAUAGUACUGGCCAUUUGCUCGAUUAACUAUGAUAAAUAAUUUUUGAGAUGAAAAAAAAUAAAAUAAAUAAUAAUAAUCUUUGCCCUUAAAUUUUUUUUUUUGUUACGAUUUCUAAAACUUUUGUUGAUUAUUAUCCACCUAAACGUCUAUUCCUAAGAAUUUUCUCUGAAAAUGAGAUAAAACAUGGAAAAAAACAUCAGUGGGGAAUGAAUGAGAGGGACUUGUUGGUAAACAUAUACCACACCUUAUCCUACAUACUUUUGUAUUCGUCCUUUUAAUUUAACUUAUCAACCAAACAUGAAACACCAACGAGCAUUUACAAGAAUAUUCUUUUUAAGUUUUCUGUUUUUUUCCCACAAGAAAAAGGUCUAGUCUGAUGACAGAUUGAGUUAUUUGUAGAUGUAUAGUCUUGAUUCCAUCAUUCCAUGUUUUGGUGUGACAAGUCGAACGUUUUCUCGCGAUAUCAAUCUGUAUUAAUUAGUUUAACAUAGUAAAAAAAAAACUAGUUUAACAGACAAGUCAUCUUUGUUAAUCCAGAAUGUAAGACAAUAUAUGACAUUUUUUGAAUAUAUAAAUAGCUAUUUUCAUGCUUAGGUAUGUACGUUCCAAGAGGCUUCUUGGAUUAUCAUUCAGUGUAACCAGAGAUAUCCGCUGAAAAUGUUGAAGAUUCUUGUAGAGGCACGGUGGGAAUUUGAAAAACGUACAAGAGCAUCCAAGCUUCAUUCCAUCAUCUCUACAACUUUGUUCAUUGGUGGGCGAUCUGGUGGGAAAGGCUGAAUACACCACAAACCCACCAAUGUCAUCUUCUUUGCUAGAUCAUCGUCUUCGUUGCUGAUUCCCUUCUCCAUAAGUCUUCUUGACUUUCCUAAUUCAAGAUCCCUAUAUACCAUUCAGGAAAGUACAUUGAACUUGUGCUAAAAGAAGAUGACUGAUUAUCUUUUUCUUUGUUCCUUGCACCAAUCAUCUGAAGAAACAACAUUCUAUAGCUAUUCACAUCUUACUUGUGCAAUACAUUCCCAUAACUCUAGAGAUCAUCUCUGGUGAAAUGUACCCUAUUGUACCUCUUGUGUCCAGCAAUGACAGGAUGCUCUCUUUCUUCUCACAGAGCUUAGCGAGGCCAAAGUCCAAAACUUUGGGAGAAAAAAUGUCAUCUAAGAGUACAUUUUGUGGUUUAAUGUCAAAAUAUAGAAUCUUUGUCUUGCAUCCAUGGUGCAAGUACUCUAGACCACGACCAACUCCUAGCACAAUUCUAUAUGGUGUCGUCCACUCCAUAUUCACUAAGAUCUUGCUUGAGAUGAACUUAUCAAGAGACUCAUUUCUCAAAAAGUCAUAUAUAAAAACCAAGCAAGGAAACAAUGUUGAGAUGAGAAGUUCUGCUCAUGCUAGCAACUUCAUUAAUGAAGUCUUCACUAUUACCCUUUUAGUCCUUCAAGACUUUCACCGCAACCAUACGGCCAUCAACAAUUGUUCCACAGUAUACAAUUCCAAAUCCGCCUCUCCCAACGACUUCUGCAAAUGACCAUGUAGGAGUUUGAAAAAGCAGCUGCACAAAAAGAGUGAAGUAUAGCCACUAUAUCUCUAAAUUAUGUAAUCUCUAAAGAGGAGAAUUUAAAAUUGUUAAGAAGCCAAAUAUUUGCAUUUAUAUGUGAAGUUAAAUAGGACUGGAAAAAAGAGCUCUCUAAUUAGUUACUACAAAUAGUAGGAACAAGUGUGUGUAAAGCAGACCAACAUUUCACUGAAGCAAUUGAAAAAUUAGAAGGGAAACUUACGAGUCAAACUCUGAAUCUCAGACCAUGUGAAACUAAACGUGUAUAUUCCAGCAACUGAGUUAAUCUCAGGAACAUUUGUUGAACGAUUUUUCAAGGAGUUAAAACAUUGUGUUGUUCGUGAGAUCUAUCGAACUUGAGCAAAAGAGAGGUGGAUCUUUUUACUCUUUUCUUGGUUUUUGAUAUUCUUUUCGAGCCAAGUGGUGGUGACUUUGUUUCAAGUUAUUACACUCCUUUUUUAACUGGAUUAGUUGGUGCUUACAGAGUUAUCCACCAUAUUUCACCAUAUGAGAAUCAAACCCUCAACCUCACAUUCCUCAAGCAAACAUUUAAACCAGUUAACCUAUAAGAGAAUUUUGGAAAAAAGAAGGCCGAUAUAUUAAUAACUACAUUCGAGGCUCUGCUUAUAUGUGACCAAUAGUCACCAAUAACUCACGUACGUACGUAACCACCACUUAAAUUAACCCCCACUUAAUAAUAAAUAUAGAGAAAUUGUUAAAAAUGUCCAUUUUUCAAUACCUCUUUUCAAAAAUGCCCCCUUUGAGAGUCUAUUUUUAAGUUUGCCCUCUUUUAAUUUUAAAUGACCAUUUUACCCUUAUUUGAGACAAAAUUAGAUCCACAAAAUACAAAAUAUUUUUUGGCGGGAAAAGUGAUCCUGCAAUUUUCCCGCCAAAACACUUGUAAAAACCUUUAAAAUACCUUGUAAAAUUUUCCCGUAAAAAUUUUUCCCGCCAAAAAAUUUUUUUUGCGGGAAAAGUGAUUCCGCAAUUUUUUUGGCGAAAUUUUUUUGGCGGGAAAAAUUUACAAGGUAUUUAAAAGGUUUUUACAGAGUAUUUACAAGUGUUUUGUAAGGUUUUACAAUGUAUUUUAAAAGGUUUUACAAGGUACUUAUAAGGUUUUAUAAUAUAUUUAUAACUUGUAAAACCUUAUAAAAAACUAGUAAAACCUUAUAACUUGUAAAACCUUAUAAAAUAGCUUAUAAAAUAUUAUAAUAUCUUAUAAAUACCUUUUAAAUACGUUGUAAAACCUUUUAAAAUACAUUGUAAAAAACCUUUAAAAUACCUUGUAAAUUUUUCCCGCCAAAAAAAUUGCGGAAUCACUUUUCCCGCAGAAAAAUUUUUUUGGCGGGAAAAAUUUUACAAGGUAUUUUAAAGUUUUUACAAAAUCAAAUUUGUAAUUUUGAUGUGUGCACAUUCUCAUGUUUUUCUUAUAUAUUUGUGAUAUUUUUUAUUAAAAGAAGGGUAAUUUAGUCAUUUUGUACAUAAAAAGGGUUAUAUUUAAAAAUGGACAGCCAAAGGGGGCAUUUUUGAAAAGGAGUAUUAAAAAAGAGGCAUUUUUGUGAGUCUCCCAUAAAUAUAUAUAAUAACGUUCAUGUAAUUAACAUAAUAAUAUAUUAAUUACCUUUCAUUAAUUAUAUAUAUGAAUACAUUAGAAAGAUAAAAAUUAAAAUACAAUGGUAAGGGACGAGGGUUAUCAACACACCCGAAUUCUAAUUCUUUAAUCGAAACCGAUCUAUCACGGUAUCGUCUUUAAUAUUAGAAUCCUUAACAUUAGUAUGAACUUGAACUUUACGAUUAAACCGAAAGACAUAUAGCCACAUAGAAUAAAAUAUUUUUACAACUUUAAGUUGCAUUGAUUCGUAAAAUUUAUUACUAGUUUUAUGAUUUUGUCCGAAAAUUUUCUAUAGGGAUCACUUUUUGUACAAUACUGAAGAGGAAAUUUUUUUGGUAGAAUAUUUUCUCGAGACAAAUCAUUAGAAUUCUUUGUCAAUCAAAACCAAAACUAGUGUAAAGUGAAUUAGAUAUCUUGUUAAACUUAUUUUAGAUAUAGGGAAAAAACUCAAAAAAACUUUGGUUUAUUUUUUAUUUGGACGUUUAAUACCUAAAUUAUUUUGGUUGGAAGAAAAAACACAUAAUAAUUAAAAUAUACGAUUUAAUACCUAUAAAAAUAAAAUAUUGUUAUUUUCAUACUUACGGUUUUAUAACAAAAAUAAAAUUCCAAUUUUACCUUUACAAUUAGAAUAUAUCAUUAAUUUUAAAUAACGUGGCAAUAAUUUUUACUUUUAUUUGAAUAAAAAAUAAUUUAUAUUUAUAUUUCGUUUUACUAAAAUUAUUUUAUUUAUAAAUUUCAAAAAAAAAAAUCUGAAUAAAUGAAAAAAAAAUGUCGAAAAAGAAAAAUUAGGAAGAAGAAUAGAGAAUCGAAUAAGAAGUCGACUGAGUAGUAUGGAACUUCAUCAAUUACCAUAUGCGUUCCCAAAUUGUGUUUGUUAUUCUUGGUGACAUGUUUGUUCAGUCUCCAACCAAAACCCAGAAAAUCAAUUCACUAUCCAAUCAAAUUCAAGAAAUUAAAUUGAGGAAAUCGAAAAAGACACAACAAAACCAAGCAACCGAUUUGAAAUCAGCACCCAAAAAUAAACUUGAAACCCAUAAACCGAUUUGAAAGCAACACCUAAAAACCACAGUCCGAAACUUUGGGGCAAAAAUUGUCAUCUAAAUCCGCCUUUGCCAACAACUUCUGCAAAUGACUUUGCAAAUUUCUUCACUUUUGCAUAAGUAUAGUGUUCGACAAUGAACAAAACAACUCCCGCUACUGAACCUGCAACUAGAAAACAAAUUGAAAUUUCUCUGGCUAGCAAAACCCACAUAUGCUAAUUGCUUUGACCAAAGUACUUAGAUGUGAAAUGGUUGGUGUGAUUCUAGGGGUUGAGGUUGGGGCUUUUGCUAUAAUUGGUGGUAGUGGUGGCUCAGUGACAUCAACAUCUGUGAAAAUUUGGUUUGGAGCUUGGGCCGGAGGAAAGAACAGAGGACUCAUAACGUUUAAGAGGCCACCCGGUUGAACAUGUAACAUGUAAGGUGGUAUUUCUUUGCUGCCCAAACA
rnacentral:lncRNA from 1 species